UACUUCAUCUUGCGUUACGGUUCUCUGGAUAUCCAAUAUCUAGGGCUAAGAGGGAAGCCGGUGCGUCGCCACCCCGAACGGGGGAUCGGGACAAAGCCGGCGCUGCCCCCGCAACUGUGAGCGGAGAGCGGCUUCGUCGUUUCAGCGUCACUGGUGCCCAUCCCGGUUCGGGACGACGGCACCGGGAAGGCCGGACGGAGCCGCCGUGACCCGUGAGCCAGGAGACCUGCCGUAACCGAAUGAACGUCC
rnacentral:ncRNA from 1 species